ensembl:lincRNA
UGAUUGUUGAAUAAAAUACUGUUUGGCCAAUGGCAAGCAAGGACUAGGAGUCAAAGAGGAUUCUGGGAAAUGUAGUAGAGAAGUGAUGAUCCAGGCAGGAAGUGACAUGGCAAGGAGACUCAUAUCUAAGGGAGGAAACAGGAAGUAUGCCCUCUUUUCCCCUCUGCUCCUGCUCCAGCGGCAUGAUGUGAUCCACCAGCCAGGAGGGAUGCCAAUAAGGCGUCUGAUAAGGACAUCUGAUUCCUACAGUUUUUCCUCCUUCUCUUCCAUGGGGUUUCUGAGCUAUGAAGGGAAGGACCAGGUAGAGACCUUCAAUUUAUACUCUGUCUGCACAAUGUCCUGCUGUGGGUCUCUGCAUCUGCUCCCAUCUGCUGCUGGAGAAAGCCUCUCUGAUGAUGACUGGAAAGGCACCAAUCUAGAAACAGACUCGAUCUCAUCUUGGAAACCACAGAAGUUGGAAAGAACUCAGAACCCUCCUAGAGAGGAAACCAACCUCGAAGUCUCCAUAUAGUCAGAUAACAAGCAGGAGAAGAGUGGGCAGCUGCCAUGUACUGAGGAAAAACAGAGAUGCAGACCCAACAUUCAGAG